GAUGAUGCUCGUAUUGUUACUUGUAAAUAUUAUCAUUUCAAAUUAUUGCACUACGCGAUAGUUCAAUCAGAUUUAAAUUAAGGAACACCAAAUGUCAUUAUCAAAAACAAUGGGUACAGUUAAGUGGUUUAACGAAGAGAAAGGUUUUGGUUUUUUAACUCAAGACAACGGCGGUGCUGACGUAUUCGUUCACUUCCGUGCUAUCGCUUCAGAAGGCUUCAAAACAUUGGCUGAAGGCCAAAAAGUAUCAUUUGACGUUGAGCAAGGCCAAAAAGGUCUGCAAGCAGCGAAUGUUAUCGCGCUAUAAGUUUAUCGUUUAGAUAAGUAUAAAAUGCUGGCUAAGG
rnacentral:sRNA from 1 species